rnacentral:rRNA from 1 species
UACGAAGGGGGCUAGCGUUGCUCGGAAUCACUGGGCGUAAAGCGCACGUAGGCGGACUCUUAAGUCGGUGGUGAAAUCCUGGAGCUCAACUCCAGAACUGCCUUCGAUACUGGGAGUCUCGAGUCCGGGAGAGGUGAGUGGAACUCCUAGUGUAGAGGUGGAAUUCGUAGAUAUUAGGAAGAACACCAGUGGCGAAGGCGGCUCACUGGUCCGGUACUGACGCUGAGGUGCGAAAGCGUGGGGAGCAAACAGG